GGGGAAUUUUCCGCAAUGGGCGAAAGCCUGACGGAGCAAGACCGCGUGAGGGAGGAAGGCUCUUGGGUUGUGAACCUCUUUUCUCAGGGAAGAAAAAAAUGACGGUACCUGAGGAAUCAGCCUCGGCUAACUCCGUGCCAGCAGCCGCGGUAAUACGGAGGAGGCAAGCGUUAUCCGGAAUUAUUGGGCGUAAAGCGUCCGCAGGUGGCUCGCUCAAGUCUGCUGUCAAAGACCGGGGCUUAACUCCGGAAAGGCAGUGGAAACUGACAAGCUAGAGGGCUCUAGGGGUAGAGGGAAUUCCCGGUGUAGCGGUGAAAUGCGUAGAGAUCGGGAAGAACAUCGGUGGCGAAAGCGCUCUACUGGAGAGCAACUGACACUCAGGGACGAAAGCUAGGGGAGCGAAUGGGAUUAGAUACCCCAGUAGUC
rnacentral:rRNA from 1 species